AGAGUUUGAUCCUGGCUCAGGAUGAACGCUGGCGGCGUGCCUAAUACAUGCAAGUCGAACGGGGUGCAGCAAUGUACCAAGUGGCGACCGGGUGCGUAACACGUAGCUGACCUGCCCAUCAGCGGGGGACAACAGGCCGAAAGGCCUGCUAAUACCGCAUGAGGUUGAGGGGCUUAGAAGCCUUCAACGAAACUUCCGGGGCUGAUGGAGGGGGCUGCGGCCCAUCGGGUAGUUGGUGCGGUAACGGCGCACCAAGCCGACGACGGGUAGGGGACCUGAGAGGGUGGUCCCCCACACUGGGACUGACACACGGCCCAGACUCCUACGGGAGGCAGCAGUAAGGGAUAUUGCGCAAUGGGCGAAAGCCUGACGCAGCAACGCCGCGUGGAGGAUGACGGCUUUCGGGUUGUAAACUCCUUUUGGCGGGGAGGAACAAGACAGUACCCGCCGAAUAAGCCACGGCUAACUACGUGCCAGCCGCCGCGGUAAUAC
rnacentral:rRNA from 1 species